AUAUAUAUAUAUAUAUAUUUCAUUCUGAUCACAUUGAAAAUAGAAUGACUAAUGCUUUGAUUCUGCUAUUAUAAAUAACUAGAUCAUUAUGUACUCCAACUAGCAGAACUCACGCUUGAAUGCAACAAGAAGCAGAAGUUGUUCAAUUUGAAAGGAAUUGCUGUAAGCAAUAAUAACAACGAAAAAGAUCCCAAUUUUUUUUGUUUAUUUACAAAAAUUCUGUUAUUCAUUAGCAUUCAGCUUGAGUCCCUUCUUUCUGAAUUUAUAUUAGGGUGCAACGGAAGGCAUUUGUACAUUUCGGUCGAAGAUACUAAUGAAAAACUGAUAAUCCCAUUUAUAAUUCAUGCAAAAUCAUAUUUUCUAGCACAACCUUUUUCAAAUAUGUGGACCAUUUUUCACUUCAACAAGCAGGAAAUCUAUUCAUUGGUUUAGGAACGGCAGCAGAUAGAAUAUCCUUGGAAAUAAUUAAUAUUAUCAAUAUCCGAAUCUCUCUUAUUCGAUUAUUAUUAUCUAAAAAAUUUUAAAAAAUAUUAAACCUGCU
rnacentral:misc_RNA from 1 species